rnacentral:tRNA from 1 species
GCGGGGUGGAGCAAUUGGUAGCUCGUCGGGCUCAUAACCCGAAGGUUGCAGGUUCAAGUCCUGUCCCCGCUACUAA